CGUGUCAGUGUCUACUGGAUGGUACCACUAAGGAAGCAGCUCAUUUCUACCUCUCUGCUUACAUUCAUCAUGCUUACAGCUCCUUCUAAAAAAGAACUGGUCAUUGGUGGCUUGCUCUUGCUAGCUUUAGCUCACCCUGCAGUCAGAUAUGAAGCCUCUAAAUUAUGGAGAUAUUGUGGACUGUUAAUCACAGACUCGUAUGGCUACAUAUAUGAUAUCUGUGGAGGCAAUUUCUUUAUCCUAUUUGAUAUAUGUACUUAUCUUGUUACGUUGGCUGCAUCCUUUCUUGGGAACAGCAUAUUCUUUUUCUUGGAUGUAACUGGAAGACCAAAGUUUCUGCAAAAAUAUAAAAUACAAGAACGGAAGCAUUCUCAAGAUCAAGAGCAGCAAUUGGUCA